AUGAUUUCCCUAGUAACGGCGAGUGAAGAGGAAAGAGCUCAAAGUUGGAACCUGUUUGGCUUAGCUAAACCGGAUUGUAAACUGUAGAAACGUUUUCCUGAUACGCCAGACAAAUAAGUCCUUUGGAACAGGGCAUCAUAGAGGGUGAGAAUCCCGUCUUUGGUCUGAGCUGUUGUCUUUUGCGAUACGUUUUCAAAGAGUCAGGUUGUUUGGGAAUGCAGCCUAAAUUGGGUGGUAAAUCUCACCUAAAGCUAAAUAUUUGCGAGAGACCGAUAGCGAACAAGUACCGUGAGGGAAAGAUGAAAAGAACUUUGAAAAGAGAGUUAAACAGUAUGUGAAAUUGUUAAAAGGGAACCGUUUGGAGCCAGACUGGCUUGAUCGUAAUCAAUCUAGGUUUCGACCUGGAUGCACUUGCGGUCUAUGCCUGCCAACGACAGUUCUUUCUGAAGGAUAAAACUAARAGGAAUGUGGCCCCUCGGGGUGUUAUAGCCUUUUMGAUAAUACUUUGGAUGGGACUGAGGAACGCAGUGAAUGCUUAUGGCGAGAUUGCUAGGCGCUUUUGUUAAUAUAUGUCAGAAUUUCUGCUUCGGGUGGUGCUGAUGUCUAAAGAURAAACCCGCUUGGUUAAUUUUCUAUUCACUUAGGUUGUUGGCUUAAUGACUCUAAAUGAC
rnacentral:rRNA from 1 species